rnacentral:rRNA from 1 species
GACGAACGCUGGCGGCGUGCCUAAUACAUGCAAGUCGAACGGAAAGGCCCUGCUCUUGUGGCGUGCUCGAGAGGCGAACGCGUGUGUAUAACGCGUGUAAACUCUCCCUGUCAUUGGGGGAACACCAGGAAAAACGGGCGCAUAUCCGAUAUAAGCUCUUGAAGCACGGGGGUGGAUGGAGAGAUUCGGCGGUUCGGGAUGGAAUCGAGGCUAAUCAGCUUGUUGGUGGGGUAGUGGCUUACAAGGGCUUUGACGGGUAGUCGGCCUGAGAGGGUGACCGGCCACAUGGGGCCUGAGAUAGGGCCCAGACGCCUACGGGAGGCAGCAGUGGGAAAUAUUGCGCAAUAGGAGGAAGCCUGAUGCAACAACGCCGCGUGCGGAAUGACGGCCUUCGGGUUAUAAACCGCUUUCGACUGUAACGAAGAGUGAGUGACGGUAAUUGGUAAAAAAGCAACGGCUAACUACGUG